UACAGAGGGGGCAAGCGUUAUUCGGAAUUAUUGGGCGUAAAGGGCGCGUAGGCGGCUUGGCAAGUGGAAGGUGAAAUCCCUCGGCUUAACCGAGGAACUGCCCUCCAAACUGCUUGGCUUGAGACCGGGAGAGGUGAGUGGAAUUCCCAGUGUAGCGGUGAAAUGCGUAGAUAUUGGGAGGAACACCAGUGGUGAAGGCGGCUCACUGGACCGGUACUGACGCUGAUGCGCGAAAGCGUGGGGAGCAAACAGG
rnacentral:rRNA from 1 species